AUUGAACGCUGGCGGAAUGCUUUACACAUGCAAGUCGAACGGCAGCACGGACUUCGGUCUGGUGGCGAGUGGCGAACGGGUGAGUAAUGUAUCGGAACGUGCCCAGUCGUGGGGGAUAACGUAGUGAAAAUUACGCUAAUACCGCAUACGAUCUAUGGAUGAAAGCGGGGGAUCGCAAGACCUCGCGCGAUUGGAGCGGCCGAUAUCAGAUUAGGUAGUUGGUGGGGUAAAGGCCCACCAAGCCAACGAUCUGUAGCUGGUCUGAGAGGACGUCCAGGAACACUGGAACAGAGGCACGGUCCAGAUACAUAGGGGAGGCAGCAGUGGGGAAUGUUGUACAAUGGGUGAAUGCCUGAUCCUGCCAUUCCGCGUGCAGGAUGAAGGCCCUCGGGUUGUAAACUGCUUUUGUACAGAACGAAAAGGUUUCUACUAAUACUAGGAGCUCAUGACGGUACUGUAAGAAUAAGCACCGGCUAACUACGUGCCAGCCGCCGCAGUAA
rnacentral:rRNA from 1 species